rnacentral:ncRNA from 1 species
UGUACUAGGGGUGCCAACCGAUUGGUGGCUGAGAUCAUACCCUUAACCUGAUCCAGGUAAUGCUGGCGGAGGUAAGUUACAAAA